GGUGUUAGUGGCUAUUUGAUCAACACACGAUGGCAGAAGAAUUUCUGGCUUUUGGCCUAAUCACAGUCUCUAAUCUUAGCAGCCAUAGAUUGGAUAAUUAUCUUUUGUCUUAUAAGCUGUGUACCUCUUUGUAGUCCCAUGUGUUAACGCUGUGUCUUGUAAGAAAUUAAACAAAAUAUUUGUAUCCCGUUUGAUCCAUUCCAUCUUAUUUAGAACGCUGAUCCAAUAUCUUAAAUGUUCUAUAGUUUUCUUAUAAGAAUAUGUUUUUCAUAUGUUUACUUAAUAUCUCAAUAUUAUACUCUCUCUGUUCCCGAAACAAAGAUUUUAUAGAAUAUUCACGCAUAUUAAAAACAUAAUAAAUAUUUAUAGUUAAAUUUAUUAUUUAUUUCACUAUACAUUUUCCAAUAACUAUCAGUCAAUAGUAUUUAAUCAAUUCAAAUAUUUUCGAUUAAUGUUUUUUAAAAGUAUACAAUUUAUCAACAUUAACUACUUAAAACUACUUUAAAAUUCUAGAAAAUCUAUACUUUUAGGAACGGACGGAGUAUAUAAUAAUCAUAAAAGAUGGACUUGCAAAAACUAAAUAAUCUUUAUAUAUAUAUAAAAAGGAUGGAAUUGCAAAAAAAAAAAAUCAUAUAUAAUAAUCUUUAAUUUGUAAAAUAGAGUUUUGAAAUAAAACAAUUUAUAAAAUAACUUCACCAAAUUAACCUAUUAAAAUAUUAUAAUAGUUUAUUAUGAACACUUAACUAUAGAAGAAUGUUGUAUAAUUAUUCAUCAAAAUUACAAUUCCUUUUCCGAGUUUCUAAAUAAAUAUUUUAAAAAAUAACUUAUAUAUAUAUAUGAGGAUUUUCCAAAUAUGACUCAACACUUGAUUUUAAAUACAAAACUAUACCCAAACUUGAAUCAAAUGCAAAACUAACCCAAAAGCACUGUGAAAUUACAGCCAGCCCCUUGUGACCAAACAAAAAAACAGAACUCAUUUUUACGAAUAUAUUCCCAAAAAGUCGAAUGAGUCUUCUGAGAUACUGUAAGUCGUCUAGACGACUUCCAGUGAAGUCUUCUGGUGUACUCGAUCUUAAAAAUAAUUUAUAAUUUUUUAAAAAAAUAUUUUGACAAGUGAAAAAUUAAAAUCAUGUAAUUAUAAACAGUUUUUAAUAAUAUAAAUUAAGAUAUAAUAAUAUUGAAUAGUUUUCAACAUAGAUGAGUGAAAGUAGUUAAUCAUGAUAUUCUUUGGCUUAGGGUUUGACAACAAAUGUUGUAGUAUUGUAUGUAUUCUUAGGGUUAGAUUUUGGAUUAAAUGUUUUUUUUUGAAUAAUUAAAUUUUUACCUACAUGUGUUUAUUUCUGUGUAUAGUAAACACUUUUUAAGUUUAGUUUGAUUUUAUGAAAUAUUUAGUUAGUUAAUUUAGUUUAGGGGUUAUGUUUAGGGUCUCGAUGACUAACAUGUAAGUCGUCUGGCGAUUUGAAGACUUCUCUGAAAGUCUUCUAACUCCCGCUAAAAAUAUUUUAAUUUUCCGCUAAAAAUAUAUUAGUUUCCCGCUAAAAAUAUUGAAGUCUUUUGGGCGACUUACAAGUAAGUCGUCUAGUAAGCAUUUUAUUAGAUAACUUACUUGAAAGUCUUCUGAAUCGAAAAUAUUUAAUCAUAUUGGAAUUUUUGUCUCCAUAUAUAAAGAAAAAUUUACAUAUUCUCUCUCCUCCUCUCAAAAGGCUUCAACAAAAAUGGUAUGUUCCUCAUUUUAAAACUCUCCAACCUCUAUGUAAUCUCUUUGAACUUAUAAACACCAAACUUUAUAUCAAUUUAUUGUUUUUGUCUCAUGUCUUUCUCACUAGUUUAUCUUGUUUUGCAGGUUUUUCAUCACAUGGUUCUCAUCACAUGGUUCUCAUCUUCCACUCAUUUAAAGGUAGAUCUAUUAAUAUUAGAUAUGUAUUUUUGUAUGUUCUAUAGAGGUAGAUCUAUCUAAUCUUCCACUCAUUUUCUUUGUUUUUAAGUCAUUUCAACGUUUUUGGAUAUGCAUGUUUUUCAGAUCUGGAUUUGGAUAUGUUGGUUUUUCAUUCAGUAGCCAAAAUAUUGAUUAAUAUACAUGAAUUAACAAAAAAAUGUUAAAAAUUCUUUAUAGUUUUAAAUAGAAUGAAAGUUUAUUAAACAUUGACGCAGACGACUUCCACGGAGGUCAUUUGGCAGACUUCUAAAAAGUCGUCCAUUUAGGUUAGUUUUGCAAUUGAUUUUAACCUAGACGAUUUACAUGUAAGUCGUCUAGGGAAAACAUGUUAGUUUUGCAUUUGACUGGACUCUGUCAGAAAUUUGACUUUUCCUGGACGACUUACGUGUAAGUCGUCCAAUAGAAAAUUAAAAAAUCAAUAUUUUGUUUUACCUAGACGAGUUACAUGGGUUAGUUUUGCAAUGGAAAAAUAAAACAAAAAACAAUAUUUUUUUGUAGACGACUUACACGGAAGUCGUCCGUCCGACAACUUACAUGGAAGCCGUCCAAGAUAAGCAAGGUUUGACCAGAAUCUCAGAAUAAAAUCAUGACAACUUCAAUGUAAGUCGUCGGUCCGACUUCAAUGUAAGUCGGUCCGACUUCCGUGUAAAUCGUCUAGAAAAAAUAUUUUUUUUGUUUUAUUUUUCAAUUGCAAAACUAACCUGAGACGACUUAUAUGGAAGUCGUCUAGGUAUAACAAAAUAUUUAUUUUUAAUUUACUACAGGACAACUUACGUGUAAGUCGUCCAGAAAAAGUCAAAUUUCUCACACAAUGCGGUCAAAUGCAAAACUAGCUCGUUUACCCUAGACGACUUACAUAGAAGUCGUCUUGAAUUUUUUUUUUAACAAACAACGAUGGACGACUUCCAUGAAAGUCCACUAUAAAAACACAUUUAAAAGUCAAUUGCAAAACUAACAUCUGCAUUAACCAAAAGACUUCCAUGUAAGUCGUCUACAGCCAGACGACUUACAUGUAAGUUGUCUGGACGAACAGAUCUGGGAAAAAAAAACUGAUUUCAUAGUUUCAGACGCACUAAGUUAGUUAGAAACAAGUGGAGAAAAGAGAGCUUGUUAGAAGAAACUGCCCCAGUAGCUGAAAGUGAUCCAAAGUGUUAUUAGAAACUUGUAAACUGCCUUAGAAUGUAAUUUUCUCUAUUUUAUUAUGGGCAUGUGACUCAGCCUUAAUGCCCUGUCGCUCACUAUUUAUUAACAGCAGCAAUUACUCUCUCUCGCUUCUUUCUCUUUCCAUUUCGCUGUGUCAAGUUUAAACCAAAGCCUCUUCACUUUUACCCUAUAAUAGUCUCCUACUACCUACACUUUCUCGCUCUUGAUCCACACUACUUACAAAAUGCAAUUUUCAAGAAACUCAAUACUUAGACAACGAAGCAGAAAAGAAGGUUGGAGGUCGGCUUCUAAAAGGUGGACAUCCGGAGAUAGUUCAACGGCCUUCACCGACGCAACAAGCUGUGGUGGUGGUUACUCUUCAAUGGAGGGUCUUUAUGGGGUCUACUCAAAUGGAGAUACAGCAACCAGAAGCAAGAGGGUGAUGGUUGUGGUGGAUGAGACUUCGAGGUCGAAACAUGCCAUGAUGUGGGCUUUGACGCAUUUGACUAAUAAGGGAGAUUUGAUGACUCUUCUCCACGUUGUGUCUCCUCAUGAUGAAGCUUCUCCUUCUUUGGUUCAAUCACUUGGUUCUCUUUGCAAAGCUUGUAAACCCGAGGUAACUUACUGUAACGUAUUUUCUGUAAGAUUUUUGAAUAAAUAAAUUCUUAAAAUCUUGAUUGGUUGAUUGGUAAGUUUUAAUAACAAAAGCCAAGAAUUUAAAUUAAAAGUCUAGCAAUGCACAUUUGGGUUUCAAUUUUUUGUUUUUAUACUAUAAUGUAAGAUGUGUUGGCUGACAAAAAAAUGUGUUGAACUACUUGAGUAGUGCAUGCGUUAGUGUUGGAGAUGAGAAAAAAAUGCAGAGAACUGGUCUCUGCAAAGUUUCUAAUUGAUUCCACUGGCUCCUCCCCUUUUUUAUAUUUUUAAAAGAAAAUGGAUGUGAAAAGUAUUUUCAUCAUUUCUGAUUGUAAGCUUUUUUCAGUUAAAGAUCCAACUUAUUUUCCUAGUUCAGAUCUAAUGGUUAAGAAAAUGGUUUUAUAUCUUAGUUGAAGUAUAGACUGGUAUUGUUGGUACAUAAACAGUUGUUACUUAAAAAGGGUACUUACCCAUUUUAAAUUAUCUUAAAUAGGAUUUCGGAAGGAAAGUUUUUCGAAAACAUCCAACAUGUAAUCAGGUAUAGUUUUUCGUAAAUUUUGAUAUUUUAAUUGCAUUCUCGAGAUAUUUCUAAUUUUAUAAUUUGCCUUGGCUUAAUCGUAAUUAGUUACCUAAAGAUUCCUUGAGAUUUUUAUAGUACUUUGGAGAAGUAAGAAGUGCUAAUACUUAUCUCUUUUUUGCAUCAACAAAUGUAUUAUAGUGGAUUUGACAAAGAUUUUAUGGUAAUUAUCUUUUAAGGUGGAUGUGGAGGCGUUGGUGGUUCAAGGACCAAAGUUAGCAACUAUACUCAGCCAAGUGAAGAAACUUGACGUCACUGUUCUUGUUUUGGGUCAGAAGAAAUCUGCACCAUUCAUCUCCUGGUGCGUCAUCUCAACCGUCAGAUCUCUUUCCUCAUCAUCAUGAUACUCUCGUUCCUCAUCAUCAUGAUACUCUCGUUCUAAUAAUUACUUUCAUUUUCUUGUCGUUUUGUACGUAGCUUACGUGGACCCAGUAGAUCUGAGGAGCUCGUGAAUCGAUGCAUCAACGGUGCAGAUUGUUUGACGAUUGGUGUGAGGAAACAAAGCAACGGUGUUAGUGGCUAUUUGAUCAACACACGAUGGCAGAAGAAUUUCUGGCUUUUGGCCUAAUCACAGUCUCUAAUCUUAGCAGCCAUAGAUUGGAUAAUUAUCUUUUGUCUUAUAAGCUGUGUACCUCUUUGUAGUCCCAUGUGUUAACGCUGUGUCUUGUAAGAAAUUAAACAAAAUAUUUGUAUCCCGUUUGAUCCAUUCCAUCUUAUUUAGAACGCUG
rnacentral:lncRNA from 1 species